UACGGAGGGGGCUAGCGUUGUUCGGAAUUACUGGGCGUAAAGCGCACGUAGGCGGCUUUGUAAGUUAGAGGUGAAAGCCCAGGGCUUAACCCUGGAAUUGCCUUUAAGACUGCAUCGCUAGAAUCGUGGAGAGGUGAGUGGAAUUCCGAGUGUAGAGGUGAAAUUCGUAGAUAUUCGGAAGAACACCAGUGGCGAAGGCGAGCUCACUGGACACGUAUUGACGCUGAGGUGCGAAAGCGUGGGGAGCAAACAGG
rnacentral:rRNA from 1 species